rnacentral:rRNA from 1 species
GACGAACGCUGGCGGCGUGCUUAACACAUGCAAGUCGAACGGAAAGGCCCUGCUUUUGUGGGGUGCUCGAGUGGCGAACGGGUGAGUAACACGUGAGUAACCUGCCCUUGACUUUGGGAUAACUUCAGGAAACUGGGGCUAAUACCGGAUAGGAGCUCCUGCUGCAUGGUGGGGGUUGGAAAGUUUCGGCGGUUGGGGAUGGACUCGCGGCUUAUCAGCUUGUUGGUGGGGUAGUGGCUUACCAAGGCUUUGACGGGUAGCCGGCCUGAGAGGGUGACCGGCCACAUUAGGACUGAGAUACGGCCCAGACUCCAACGGAAGGCAACAGUGGGAAGUAUUGCACAGUGGGCGGAAGCCUGAUGCAGCAACGCCGCGUGCGGGAUGACGGCCUUCGGGUUAUAAACCGCUUUCGCCUGUGACGAAGCGUGAGUGACGGUAAUGGGUAAAGAAGCACCGGCUAACUACGUG